CCAUCUCAGAGAACAGCACCUCCUUUCCAGUUGGAGUCAGGGGCUAUGACAGACUCACAGAGAACUGGAACUGGAAGGAACCAGAGCAGCGGGCGUCUCCUCCAGCAGUCCUCAGCCUGGGCCCUGGAUUCAAUGAGCAAGCCCUCCAGUUCACUUCAACCGGGGGAGCUCCACCUGUACCUCUUUUCUAUAACAAGGGUCUGUGCAAGACUUCGAGAAAAGGAUUCCACUGCUGACAAAAUAAAAGAAGUAUAACUUUGAAAUCCACUGAUUUGGUCCAAGCCCCUCCUGUUUAUAUAUGAGGCCCAGAGAAGUUAAGCGAUGAGCCACAAUAAUACAGUGGUAACUGCAUGGCCAGCCCAGCCUUGGGCCUCAUGCCCUCGGCUAAUUUCCCCUGUGACUGAACAGCCUUGAAGGAAGAGGAGCAGGGCCACAGCACAGAAGAGGCUGAUGGGAGUGGAUUUGGCCGUCUCCAUCCUCCCAGACAGACUCUCGCAGCUGCGGUUACUCCAGGUGGGAACUGAGAACUGGAAGUCCCCUUUCGUUUCCCAAAGGCAUAAAGGUAUGCCUUUUCACGUCUAGAGCAGAGCGGUCAGUAUGACUUUUGAGAUAAAGCAUUAUUACUAUUUCCCUCUGAGCUGUUGGGAUUGAUAAAACCACUUAUACCACCUCACAGAUUAUCUAGAGCUACGUGCUGAGCUCCCUUACCCCCAGAGCUAAGAAUCCUGGAAAUCAUUUGAAAGAGAAGAAAAGAGGAGAGGGAAGGAAGGAAGGGUGGAAGGAAGGGAGAAAAAAUACGUAUAUUUGCUUUUGCCAGAUAGUACAUAUGACUCUUCUAUUCCUGAAAAAUAGUCUGGGAAAUGGGGAUGUAAAGAAGACAGAUGCUUUGGGCCAGCUCCCACCACAUGUCAAAGCUAAAUACUGAGAUUUUAUGGGGCAUUUUCCUCUGAUAAUUUUCUAAAAGGAGACAAAAGCAGAGAAAAUAAAACCCAGGAAAGAAGACGUAAAGCUGAAAGCGUGCCACGGAAGGGGAUGUCAGGAAAAGCCAAACAUCUGGGCAACGAGAUGGCGGGACUCAGGGUGUUGGUGAAGACGCUGCCAGCGUGUGACCGGAAAGGAUGAAUUCUCCUGCCCAGCCCUGGGGCCAAAGCGGGGUAGCCCUCAGCUCCCUCCUCCCAGAUGGCCCUCGCUCAGCCCAAGCAUGAGCAACUCUGCUAGCGCAUGGUGUUUUCUUUUUCCUGAAAU
rnacentral:lncRNA from 1 species